GGCUCAGGACGAACGCUGGCGGCGCGCCUAAUACAUGCAAGUCGAGCGAGAAGACGUAGCAAUACGUUUGUAAAGCGGCGAACGGGUGAGGAAUACAUGGGUAACCUACCCUCGAGUGGGGAAUAACUAGCCGAAAGGUUAGCUAAUACCGCAUACGGCUCCUGGUCUGCGGAUCGGGAGAGAAAGCGAUACCAUGGGUAUCGCGCUCUUGGAUGGGCUCAUGUCCUAUCAGCUUGUUGGUGAGGUAAUGGCUCACCAAGGCUUCGACGGGUAGCUGGUCUGAGAGGACGAUCAGCCACACUGGCACUGCGACACGGGCCAGACUCCUACGGGAGGCGGCAGUAAGGAAUAUUGCGCAAUGGGCGACAGCCUGACGCAGCGACGCCGCGUGGGGGAUGAAGGUCUUCGGAUUGUAAACCCCUUUCGGCAGGGAAGAUGGAACGGGUAACCGUUCGGACGGUACCUGCAGAAGCAGCCACGGCUAACUUCGUGCCAGCAGCCGCGGUAAUACGAAGGUGGCAAGCGUUGUUCGGAUUUACUGGGCGUACAGGGAGCGUAGGCGGUUAGGUAAGCCCUUCGUGAAAUCUCCGGGCCUAACCCGGAAAGGGCGGAGGGGACUGCUUGGCUAGAGGAUGGGAGAGGAGCGCGGAAUUCCCGGUGUAGCGGUGAAAUGCGUAGAGA
rnacentral:rRNA from 1 species